CAAGUCCCCCGCAUGAUAAAGGCUAGCGACCAGUCAUGGCCCCGAGUCAUGCGUCGGCCCGUCGUAAGGCGGGCGGCGAAGCGUUGACAGGGGUACUGGCAGGCCGGGCUAUUGAGCUCCGAAAUCACCUCAUCCGGGUGCCGACCUUGUGGUCUGAGGGGGAAGGCAGCACGCUGGAGUGCGCUAACGCAAGUGCUCCAGCGGACCCGCGGAGUCGUAGAACC
rfam:Delta proteobacterium MLMS-1 ctg1012, whole genome shotgun sequence.